rnacentral:rRNA from 1 species
CCUACGGGCGGCAGCAGUGGGGAAUAUUGCGCAAUGGGCGAAAGCCUGACGCAGCGACGCCGCGUGAGGGAUGAAGGUCUUCGGAUCGUAAACCUCUGUCAGCAGGGAAGAACGGUCACUGUGCUAAUCAGCAGUGAAUUGACGGUACCUGCAAAGGAAGCACCGGCUAACUCCGUGCCAGCAGCCGCGGUAAUACGGAGGGUGCGAGCGUUAAUGGGAAUUACUGGGCGUAAAGCGCUCGUAGGCGGUAUGUCAAGUCAAGGGUGAAAUCCCCGCGCUCAACGUGGGAACUGCCUUUGAAACUGGCAAACUGGAGUGUGUGAGAGGAUAGUGGAAUUCCAGGUGUAGGAGUGAAAUGCGUAGAUAUCUGGAGGAACAUCAGUGGCGAAGGCGACUAUCUGGCACAUAACUGACGCUGAGGAGCGAAAGCGUGGGUAGCAAACAGGAUUAGAUACCCCAGUAGUC